UUAGAUGUAACUCAGUGGAAGAGUAGCAAAUUGUGGCUUUGAAGGGCGAAGUUCGAAUCCUUCCAUCUACC
rnacentral:tRNA from 1 species